AGUCGAGCGAUGAGAUACUUCGGUAGUGGAUUAGCGGCGAACGGGUGAGGAACACGUGAGGAAUCUGCCUUCUACUCUGGGAUAACUCCGGGAAACCGGGGCUAAUACCGGAUAUGAAACUUGGUGGCUUCACCGAGUUUGGAAAGUUUUUCGGUAGAAGAUGACCUCGCGGCCUAUCAGCUUGUUGGUGAGGUAAUGGCUCACCAAGGCGACGACGGGUAGCCGGCCUGAGAGGGCGACCGGCCACACUGGGACUGAGACACGGCCCAGACUCCUACGGGAGGCAGCAGUGGGGAAUAUUGGGCAAUGGAGGAAACUCUGACCCAGCGACGCCGCGUGCGGGAUGAAGGCCUUCGGGUUGUAAACCGCUUUCAGUAGGGAAGAAGCGAAAGUGACGGUACCUGCAGAAGAAGCACCGGCUAACUAUGUGCCAGCAGCCGCGGUAAUACAUAGGGUGCAAGCGUUGUCCGGAAUUAUUGGGCGUAAAGAGCUCGUAGGUGGUUCGUUACGUCGGAUGUGAAAAUCUGGGGCUCAACCCCAGACCUGCAUCCGAUACGGGCGAGCUAGAGUUUGGUAGGGGAGACUGGAAUUCCUGGUGUAGCGGUGGAAUGCGCAGAUAUCAGGAGGAACACCAAUGGCGAAGGCAGGUCUCUGGGGCAAUACUGACACUGANGAGCGAAAGCGUGGGGAGCGAACAGGAUUAGAUACCCUGGUAGUCCACGCCGUAAACGGUGGGCGCUAGUUGUGGGAACCUUCCACGGUUUCUGCGACGCACUUACGCAUUAAGCGCCCCGC
rnacentral:rRNA from 1 species